rfam:Cajanus cajan Scaffold000409_31, whole genome shotgun sequence.
GCUGAUGAUGAUAUAAUCCAAUUUGCUUGAGGUGUUGUGGAUCCAAGUCCCUGUUUUCAGGAUGAACCUACUUGGUGAAGCUACAUUCAUGUGAUAACAAGGGAUUUAACUGAGGC